ACAACAUUCGGACCGCCGGUCUACCGAGCAAUAUCACCCGCUCGGUGGAAGAUCUUCCCUCCGUCGU
rnacentral:pre_miRNA from 1 species